GGCCUAGUCUGCGCGCAGACUAUAUAAUGACAUAUAUAUAUAUAUAUAUAUGUCAUUAUAUAUUCUGCGCGCAGGCUAGGAAAGGCC
rnacentral:miRNA from 1 species